AUCAUGACCUGAGCUGAAGUCAGUCGCUUAACUGACUGAGCCACCCAGGCACCCCUCCCCCACUUUUUUAAAGUGGACACUUAAAACUUAUUGAAGUGUAACACCCACAAAGAAAAGUGUAUAAUCAGAGGGUAGAGCUGAGUUACUGAAGGUGAGUGAAUCCAUGUGCCUGACACACAGCAUUACCAGCACCUCAGAGGCACCCUGGAGACUCCUCCCGGUGGCCACUCCUCCUCUCCCCCUCCCCCUGCCCGAAGAUCCCGGGUUUUCUUCCUCUGCAAUAGAUUAGCUUCGUGUGCUUGUAAACUCUCUAUAUUGGAGUCACUCAGCAUGUAUUGUUUUGUGCUGGCUUCUUACUAGCAGUAUAUUUGGAAGAUAUGUUUUUAAACAUCUGCGAAGUGUUAAACUCGCUCUUAUUAUGGUUUCAGGUAUUUUAGAAAAUAAUGAGAGUUUACAGGCACUAAAUGUUGGAAGAAAUGGAAAUUUAUACCCGUAAGGCACUCUGCAUUCUCUUUUUUAUUGUGGCAAAAUAUACAUAAUAUAAAAUUUACUAUUUUAAUCAUUAUAUUCUUUUUUAACGGAAUUUUAUGCUAUAUCUUUGAGGCAUAUUGAAUAAGACUUGUUGGCAUGAUUUCUUACUAUGCUUAUUUUCUUUUCAUGGGUUCCAGAGGAUUAGCGUCCUACACCCGUUCUGAUGCUGAAUGCUUUUCUUCCAACUUAACCUUUAUAUGAUUUCAGGGGUAGGAGUGGGGCAGAAACCCCCUGAGAAUGAAUAGAAAAUUUAUGUUGUUGUGACUGUGUAAAAUUUUCAUUAGACAGGUAAUCCCCUAAUACUCUGUAAUACAAAAUUGAUUCUGAAUCACUGAGAGUGGGUGUACAAAGGCUAUGUUGUGUGUGUCCCAAAAAAACCAAAAAGACAACAAAAAAAAAACCAUCUCCAGAGUUCUACUUCCCCCGGAUAGUUCAUUUCUGAAAAUGUGGAAGCAAUCUGGAGCCUUGCAAGACAUUAAGGAGACAAUUCACAGUCAAAAUAUAAUGAGCCAGAUAGUUUCAAGGAAAUGCAGGAAAGUGGUAAAGAAUGAGUUCCUUUAUGAGUCGUGUAUUCAGGUUAAAACCCACAGACGCACACUCCACAAAACACAUUAAUUCAUUCACUUUGGUAUCCUGUGGAGAAGUUAACUUGCCAGGCUAGACACAUGUUAAAAUUGAAGCACUUAGAAUAAGUCAACCCAAAAGAUACUUUCACACAGGAUAUCCCUAUCUAAUGGGAAUAGGAACAUGUGAAAAAUUGGUUCAGCUUUCCACCUGGCCUUAUAAAGUUAGGAUGGUUUUAAGCUAACUGGGAGAGAAGUCCUCCUUUUAACAGUAUUUUAGGCACCUGGGAUGGUUGUGGAUCAGCUAAAUAAGCUGUGAACUUACUCGUGUUGUACUCAUCACUUUUCUAAAGUUUGUGACAGUAACAGGGACAUUGUUUAACCAACUUCAGCCCGCUAAACAUUUGACCCCAAUGCAUCUUGUGGUAGAAAUAACGAUCCCCCCCAAAGUUUCCAUCUGUCUCCUGGAAACUGAAUACGAUGUGUUCCACAGCAAAGGGUAAUUAAGGCUGCUAAUUCGCUGACCUUCAAAUAGGGCAAGGAUCGUGGGUUUUCUGGAUGGAUCUGGUUUAAUCACUAGCGUUCUUAAAAGUGGAGGAGGAGGGCAGAGAGCCUCCGGAAGGGAUAUAGCCCUGCUGACAUUUUGAAUUUGGCCCAGUGAGACCAGUUUUGGACCUUGAGCUGAAACUGUCUGGCCCUAUCUGACCUCAAGUCUCUGCAGGCUGGAAUCUGCCUUGAGGUUAUUAGUCUACCUAACAGAACUCAGAUGUGGAUCUCUGGAGAUGAACAAGUGAAAAUAAGGUCAUUAGGGUGAGCCCUAACUCAAUAUAACUGGUGACCUUACAAGAGGUGAAAUGAUGGUGGGGACCACACAGGGAUAACACUAUCAAGAUGAAGGUAGAAGUUAGAUGAUGUCCAUCAACUGAAGAAAUGAGAAGAUUGUCAGCAAACCAUCAGGAGCUGGGAGAGAGAGGCAUGACAUGGAUUCUCUGAGCCAUCCUGAAGAAUUGGCCCUGCCAACAUCUUUACUUUGGACUUGUAGCUUCCAGAAUUGAGACCGUAAAUUCUU